rnacentral:rRNA from 1 species
AGCGAACGCUGGCGGCAGGCCUAACACAUGCCAGUCGAACGAUCCUUUCGGGGCUAGUGGCGGCCGGGUGCGUACCACGUGGGAACGUGUCUUUGGGCUCGGCAUAACUCAGGGAUACUUGUGCUAAUACCGAAUGUGCCCUUCGGGGGAAAGAUUAUUCGCCUGUAGAUCGGCCCGCGUCUGAUUAGCUAGUUGGUUGAGGUAAUGGCUCACCCAGGCGACGAUCAGUAGCUGGUCGGAGAGGAUGAUCAGCCACAUUGGGACUGAGACACGGCCCGAACUCCUACGGGAGGCAGCAGUGGGGAAUCUUGCGCAAGGGGCGAAAGCCUGACGCAGCCAGGCCGCGUGAAUGAUGAAGGUCUUAGGAUGGUAAAAUUCUUUCACCGGGGACGAUAAGGACGGUACCCGGAGAAGAAGCCCCGGCUAACUUCGUG